UUAGUUGGAUUAUUUUCAUGGAAAAGUCAUAAAAGGAUAUACAAUUGUUCAAUCUUUUCGGUCCCCUUGCUUUCAAAUCACACAACGUCAUUAGUUCUUAACAUUGGAGCUCGAUUGUUCCAAGGUUGCGUUUGCGGCUCCGGUUUCAAUUUGUGGCUGUUUGUUCGAUUGGAUCUUUGAAUUCUAAGCUCUGUACCAACUGAUUUCUCAUGCAAUGAAAGCAAUUUCAAGAUCCUUGAGGUCUAUGGUGGCAAGGAUUCCAACAGUGAUCAUUCUUUAGUAAGCUUUUCAUUGUUUAAGUUGCGAAUUCAUUAGAGAACUGUCUAACUUCUUAAUUUAUUGAGUUUCUUGGUUUAGUGUUUGUUGUG
rnacentral:lncRNA from 1 species